rnacentral:rRNA from 1 species
GACGAACGCUGGCGGCGUGCUUAACACAUGCAAGUCGAGCGGUAAGGGCCCUUUCGGGGGUACACGAGCGGCGAACGGGUGAGUAACACGUGGGUGACCUGCCCUCAGCUCUGGGAUAAGCCUGGGAAACCGGGUCUAAUACCGGAUAUGACUCCAUGACGCAUGUUGUGGGGUGGAAAGCCUUGUGCGGCUGAGGAUGGGCCCGCGGCCUAUCAGCUUGUUGGUGGGGUGAUGGCCUACCAAGGCGACGACGGGUAGCCGGCCUGAGAGGGCGACCGGCCACACUGGGACUGAGACACGGCCCAGACUCCUACGGGAGGCAGCAGUGGGGAAUCUUGCGCAAUGGGCGAAAGCCUGACGCAGCGACGCCGCGUGAGGGAUGACGGCCU